GGCAUGAACAAGUCCACAGGGGUGGGUCCUGUAUCUUACUCCCGCCCCCACUUCUCGCAAUGAACCAACGUGGGGGUAUCACUGUGAAAGGGAGCCAAGAGGGGCAGCGCACUAUGCAGUUAUCUGGAUGUAGGAGAAACCUCAGACAACUCUGCAUAGGUGACACAUCUCUGGAGGAGGAGGGAGGUGAUAAUGUCUAGAAGGGAUGUGAAUCUAAGAUGAAGAAUAAUAUGCAAAUCCCUCCCUGUGAGCAAGAUGGCAUGUUGCUAGGAUGGAGCAGGACCAAGCUACCAAUAAAAGAAAAGCUUCUGUAGUCACCAAACUGAACCAGAAAGCAUUGGCCUUGAGGGAUCAUUGCUGAGCACAAGAACAGCAGAACAGUUGGAAAGCUGUUGGUAAAGCAGUAACCACAGUUCUUGAACUGUUUAUU